GGGUUGUGAGGUUAAGCGACUAAGCGUACACGGUGGAUGCCCUGGCAGUCAGAGGCGAUGAAGGGCGUGCUAAUCUGCGAUAAGCGCCGGUAAGGUGAUAUGAACCGUUAUAACCGGCGAUACCCGAAUGGGGAAACCCAGUGUGAUUCGUCACACUAUCAUUAACUGAAUCCAUAGGUUAAUGAGGCGAACCGGGGGAACUGAAACAUCUAAGUACCCCGAGGAAAAGAAAUCAACCGAGAUUCCCCCAGUAGCGGCGAGCGAACGGGGAGGAGCCCAGAGCCUGAAUCAGCAUGUGUGUUAGUGGAAGCGUCUGGAAAGGCGCGCGAUACAGGGUGACAGCCCCGUACACAAAAGCGCAUGUGCUGUGAGCUCGAUGAGUAGGGCGGGACACGUGGUAUCCUGUCUGAAUAUGGGGGGACCAUCCUCCAAGGCUAAAUACUCCUGACUGACCGAUAGUGAACCAGUACCGUGAGGGAAAGGCGAAAAGAACCCCGGCGAGGGGAGUGAAAAAGAACCUGAAACCGUGUACGUACAAGCAGUGGGAGCCCCACCACUAAGCCAGUGGUGAACUCCACAUACGCAUCCUUUGCUGAGGAUACGGUUAACGGAGCGAAAGCGACGUUCAACCGCAAAAGAAGCAGAGGGGGCUUAGUGGUGGGGUGACUGCGUACCUUUUGUAUAAUGGGUCAGCGACUUAUAUUCUGUAGCAAGGUUAACCGUAUAGGGGAGCCGCAGGGAAACCGAGUCUUAACCGGGCGUUAAGUUGCAGGGUAUAGACCCGAAACCCGGUGAUCUAGCCAUGGGCAGGUUGAAGGUUGGGUAACACUAACUGGAGGACCGAACCGACUAAUGUUGAAAAAUUAGCGGAUGACCUGUGGCUGGGGGUGAAAGGCCAAUCAAACCGGGAGAUAGCUGGUUCUCCCCGAAAGCUAUUUAGGUAGCGCCUCGUGAAUUCAUCUCCGGGGGUAGAGCACUGUUUCGGCUAGGGGGCCAUCCCGGCUUACCAACCCGAUGCAAACUGCGAAUACCGGAGAAUGUUAUCACGGGAGACACACGGCGGGUGCUAACGUCCGUCGUGAAGAGGGAAACAACCCAGACCGCCAGCUAAGGUCCCAAAGUCAUGGUUAAGUGGGAAACGAUGUGGGAAGGCCCAGACAGCCAGGAUGUUGGCUUAGAAGCAGCCAUCAUUUAAAGAAAGCGUAAUAGCUCACUGGUCGAGUCGGCCUGCGCGGAAGAUGUAACGGGGCUAAACCAUGCACCGAAGCUGCGGCAGCGAACGUAUCACUUAAAGCGAUUCAGCGGGUUACGAUUGACGGAGCGAAGCGACGUCAAAGCGUAUACAAAGUCGAGUCGGUUUAAGGAUACGUUCGUUGGGUAGGGGAGCGUUCUGUAAGCCUGUGAAGGUGGCCUGUGAGGGUUGCUGGAGGUAUCAGAAGUGCGAAUGCUGACAUAAGUAACGAUAAAGCGGGUGAAAAGCCCGCUCGCCGGAAGACCAAGGGUUCCUGUCCAACGUUAAUCGGGGCAGGGUGAGUCGACCCCUAAGGCGAGGCCGAAAGGCGUAGUCGAUGGGAAACGGGUUAAUAUUCCCGUACUUGGUGUUACUGCGAAGGGGGGACGGAGAAGGCUAUGUU
rnacentral:rRNA from 1 species